rnacentral:lncRNA from 1 species
GUCACAUGUACAUGUUUCUGUUUUCCAAACAGUGUCCAGAUAACCUUUAGCUCAUACCAAUAUACCCUUAAAAUGGUAAUAUCUAUGAAUGAUUCAAUUAAAUUAAUAGCCCCCAAUGCCUCUUGUGGAACUAGUUUCAAUUUUAUUUUUUUAAUUUAUCAUUUCUUUCUUUAUCUUUAGAGAUAGGGUUUUGCUUUGUUGCCCAGGAUAGUCUCAAACUCCUGGCUUCAAGAGAUCCUCCCGCCUCAGCCUCCCAAAGUGCUGGCAUUACAGGUGUGAGCCACUGCGCCAGGCCUGAAAUUUUCUUAUAUUGCUCAAAGUUCCACUGGCAGCCCUCCCCAAGGACUCCUGCAAGAUAAAGACAGAAAUGGCUUCCCUGAGGACUGAGAGUGCCCACAGGGCUCUUGCUGCUGCGUUCUCUACCCCUAUAUUUUGUGUGGCUCUCUGCAUUUGUCUCAGCUCCAGACAAUGCUGCGAUGAAUACGCCUGUGCAUUCUUUUUUAGAACAAGUGUAAGGAUUCCUAUGUGA